AACUCUUCAACAACUGGAUCUCUGGUUGGUUGCUGGCAUCGAGUGAAGAACGCAGCGAAAUGCAGAUAAGUAAUAGUGAACUUGAAGAAUUCAGUGAAUCAUAUGAAUCUACUUGAACGCACAUUGCGCCCUGUGGUAUUCCGGCACGGCAUGACCUGUUCGAGCGUCAUUU
rnacentral:rRNA from 1 species